rnacentral:tRNA from 2 species
UGCCCCGUGGUGUAACGGCAGCACAGCGGUCUUUGGAACCGUUAGAGAAGGUUCGAAUCCUUCCGGGGCAACCG